GGGGAUGUGGUGGAACUGGUAGACACGCCAGGUUUAGAACCUGGUGCCGUAAGGCGUGUGGGUUCGACUCCCUCCAUCCCUACCA
rnacentral:tRNA from 1 species